GACGAACGCUGGCGGCGUGCUUAACACAUGCAAGUCGAACGGAAAGGCCCUGCUUUUGUGGGGUGCUCGAGUGGCGAACGGGUGAGUAACACGUGAGUAACCUGCCCUUGACUUUGGGAUAACUUCAGGAAACUGGGGCUAAUACCGGAUAGGAGCUCCUGCUGCAUGGUGGGGGUUGGAAAGUUUCGGCGGUUGGGGAUGGACUCGCGGCUUAUCAGCUUGUUGGUGGGGUAGUGGCUUACCAAGGCUUUGACGGGUAGCCGGCCUGAGAGGGUGACCGGCCAAAUUGAGACUGAGAUACGGCCCAGACUCCAACGGGAGGAAGCAGUGGGAAAUAUUGCACAAUGGGAGGAAGCCUGAUGCAGCAACGCCGCGUGCGGGAUGACGGCCUUCGAGUUGUAAACCGCUUUCGCCUGGGACGAAGCGUGAGUGACGGUAAUGGGUAAAGAAGCACCGGCUAACUACGUG
rnacentral:rRNA from 1 species